rnacentral:rRNA from 1 species
UACGAAGGUGGCAAGCGUUACUCGGAAUUACUAGGCGUAAAGGGCAGGUAGGUGGUUCGGUUAGUCUGUUGUGGAAGCUCCCGGCUUAACUGGGAGAGGUCAACGGAUACUGCCGGGCUUGAGUGUAGGAGAGGGUACUGGAAUUCCCGGUGUAGCGGUGAAAUGCGCAGAGAUCGGGAGGAACACCAAUGGCGAAAGCAGGUACCUGGACUAUUACUGACACUAAGCUGCGAAAGCUAGGGGAGCAAACAGG